rnacentral:lncRNA from 1 species
CCUGGCUGUCUCUGACCCAUGUCCCUCUGCUUGGCCCGCAGGGUUAUUUAACAUGGUAUUUGCUGUAUUGCCCCCAUGGGGUCCUUGGAGUGAUAAUGUCGUCCCCCUCGUCCGUCUGUCUCGAUGCCUGAUGCGGACGGCCAAUGGUGCUGCCCCCGCCCUCCACAUGUCCGUCCACCCUCCUCCCAGCGGCGCCCUGCCCAGCAGCUCCAGAAGGAAACCAGGGCCAAGUCACUGCUGCUCCCUCCCCGGCCCCAAGGACCUGGGACAGGAGUGCGAGAGACAGACGGGGACAGGGUCUCCCACCCCACCCCAAGCGUGGCCCACCCCUGCCCAGUGCUGUGGACUGGCCCGAGGAACUCCGCCUGUGGCCCUCAGGACCCGGUCCCUGGACCCCGGGCCAGCUCCCGGAGACACCUCUAGGUGACCUGGAUCUCUCCAACUCCUGUGGCCAGGACCACUCGUCAGGGGCACAGACUGAAGAACUGCCGCCCUCUCCCCUCCGGGCCUCCUCUGCUCACAGUGGCUUCCUUUCUCUUUAUAUGUAUGAAUCUCCAAAGACGGGGACUCCUGGGCAGGUGACUGAGCGCCCUCUGGCAGGUUAAAUGAGGCUCACUCCUCAGGUGGGCCUAGACAGCAACCUGAGCGUCCCCUGCUCUUCCCGUGUCGCCCCUCCCCCAGUGCCGCCCAAUUCACUUCUUCUGUUUCAUCUCUCUACCUCCACCCUGGGUGUUCCUCUUGUCCUGGCCCUUCAGUCUGUUCUACCAAGGGGUUCUUGGACCCCUGAUUGAGGCCCCAAAUGACCCCAAUCACUCUUCUCCAACGCAGAAGGCCAGGGGCCAGGGCAGCAGGAGACCUGCCCAUCUUAUUCCAACCCAGCCAAGACUGCCAUUUAAGAUUGUUCAGGGUGUGUACUGCACAAGGGCACUGCAUGCAAGGGAGCAUUCUGCACACCCUAGAUAUAGCCGAUUUGUCUAUUUAUUAUGACAGUUUCUGGAAGAUGUAGGUCAAGCAUCCGAGGAAAAGAAUCCUGUCUCUAAUUCACACACAGGCUCUGUGUGGACUGGCCCUGUUCUGACCCAAGCUGUGGCUUGGAGUAGUCAGACAGGAGUGAGCCCAUGGUAUGGUAACACAGAGGCCUGGGCUCUGCUGUCCCCGCUGUCCCCUCCCUUUGAGAUGCACCUGGAGGCCCUGGCGGGGGGGUGCGCUCCCUCCCCUGCCUCCCACCGCACCCCCAGCCUGCUUCCUUCAGUUUGUAAAGUCGGUGAUUAUAUUUUUGGGGGCUUUCCUUUUAUUUUUUAAAUGUAAAAUUUAUUUAUAUUCCGUAUUUAAAGUUGUAAAAAAAAAAAUAACCACAAAACGAAAACCCAGCGACUUCUCUGGCGGUCUGUGCUGGCGUCGCAUCGCGCGAGACAGUCAACAUUUCGGCGUUGGCAGAAGGUGGCCGCAGCUUGCGCCCCAGGCUCGCGAUCGCAGCUGCAGCCCGGGCGCGCGCUCCCGCCGUGGCUCGGGAGGCCCGAGGCUCAGACCCUGACCCUGACCUUGACCCUGCCCGGGAGAUGGGCUGCAGGGCGCAGUCGGGGAGGCUGGAGUAGGAAGCACAACUGAGCUUCUCCCCGGCAAGGUGUGGCAAGGCACAGCGCCACCUGGCCACAACCUCCCCAGAAACGUGAGGGGAGGAGACUGGCCGUCCCCAAGCGCCAGCCCCCAGCUCCUGGCCUUCUCUUUUUCAUUGGUUUGAUUAUUUUUUCGUGCUGGGGUGCAAGCCAGGGCCUCCCCACGCUGCCCCUGAGCUGCGCCCAGGCCCCCGUGCUUUCCCUUGCUCCUGAAGUCGGGAACAGCACACGGAAAGAUGCUGAAUGUGUUCCAGUCCCACGUGCUGUCUACCCUGAAGCUGACAAUCUAAAACUGAAGCCAUCUUGCUCCUGGAAGUAGUGAGCUCCCUGUCACGGAGAGUGUGUAAGAGGACUCUCAGAGGCCACGUGGCUGAUGUUUACUGAAUAACAUUGGGGCUCCCUGACAUUGGUUGGUCCAUGGAUUCAUUCAUUUGCUCUCCUUUUGGAAUGCUCCCCAGAGUCCAUCCUGGGGUUCCCGCCCUGCGCUCAUGUCUGCAGGACCCUUUCCUCUGCCCUAAGCAACCAGAGUUCUGGGUUCCCAGGCAGCAGAAAAGGCUCUGGUCGGGAGGAGGAGACAGUUGGGCAGGGAUGGCUAGGGCGGGAGACCUGUGAGCCUGGGACCCUGCAGCUGGGCCGCCCACCCCUGGCUACGGAGCUUCCCAGGCAUCUAUGUCUGCUUCUCUCCCUGUUGGUGUGCGUUCCCAGGCGGCAGCCAUGUCAAGUCUAUGGGCCUUCUAGGGGCCUGGUGGUCAAUCAUCAGGCUAAAAUGGCAUUCUUCUAGAAACCUCUUCUGGGAAAAAGACUUUCUGUUCUUCAGAUCUGCACUGUUAGCUGUGAUUCACUUGUGAUGUUUGGUGCAUAAGCAGUGACCUUGACCCAUGAGGUCAAAGCCAAAUGCCGAGGAGGGAGGGGGGGAGUCUCAGCUCCCACCUGGACUGCACGGCUCAGGAGCUAUUACAGAAAGAAAGACAUUCCUGUGUGAGCUACUCUUUACUUUGGGUUUUCUGCCCCUUGCACCUGCCCUCAAAUACUAAUACCUUGCCCUGACAAGCCUUCCUGUCCCAGCCCAAAGCCCACCGUCCCUUCUCUCAACCAGAGCAUGGAGCUGUCACCUUCUUUGGAGGCUCAGCAUUUGCCACCUCCAUAAAAUAACAUAAUGAACAUUUCCUGCUUAUGAAGUGCAGUAGGCGUGAGCCCCAGGCAAGCGUGCUGUCCACGAUGGAGGAGACAUGGCGGGCAAAGCCACGGAAGCAGGCCCAGAGGACCCGCCCAGACCCUCUGUGGACACUGUAUCUGGUGUUUCCACAGUUAAGGCGUCAGCCAGGAACCCCGAACCCCAACAUCUGCAGUAAUCCUGGUCGCAGCCCCAGUUCAGCCAAGGUUCCUGUGGGACUGUGGAGAAGUCUCCAUUCCUCCUUCCUCAGCCUGCUCCCGGCUGCCCUCCCGGCUGGGCCUCCACACAAAUAGCCCUUCUGAGAGGCUGCCCGGCCCAGGGCAUGGCCCCCAGCCUCAGACCCACUCCGCUUUCCUACCCUGCUUGAUUAUCUGCAUGGCUAAUGUCCACGUCUGGUCACCACAUGUGUGCUUCUCCCCACAACCAAGAAAAUUUAAAAAAAAAAUUCCGGGUGGACUUACUAGUUCACUACUCUGUCCCCAGAGCCUGGAGCAUGUCUGGCACACAGUGGGCCCUCAACAAACCCUGUUGAGUGAAUAAAUGAGAGGUGUGGUUGGAGGAAAGGCAAGCGACCACCCUCAGUCACAGCAGCUGGACGGCUCCAUCCACACCCCGCUGUGACUGGGAAAUGGCCCACUGUGAGGGUGUUGCUGGCUGUAGAUCAGAUAUUUCAACCCGAUCCUCCGUGCUCAGGAAAGCAUCCUCCUUGAUUAGAACACCCUCAGAGGAUCGGUCAUGUUGAAUUUGCCUUUGCUCUAUUUAGCCUUCAACUCUCUCCAGGUCUACAUUUACCCAUCCAUCCAUCCAUCACCCACCCACCUGGCUACCUGCCCACUCACCUUCCCACCUGUCCAUCCACCCACUAUCACUUACCUUUCCAUCCAUUUGCCCUUCCAUCCAGCCAUCCUUGCACCCAUCCACCCAUCCAUCCACCCCCACCCCCAUUCGCCCAUCCAUCUACUCAUCCACCCCCCAUCCACCCCAUCCAUCUACUCACCCACCCAUCCAUCCAUCCUUCUACCUAUCCAUCCACCCAUCUGCUCACCCAUCAACCCAUCCACCUCCCCCCCCCCCCCCCCCCCCCCCCCAUUCACCCAUCCUUCUACUGUUAUGCUCAAAUUCAGGACCCCCAAAAGACCACCAGAGACCAAGAUUGAUGUAAGCAGCAAAGAGGUGUUUAUUGGGAGCUAGCUCGGUCCUCUGUGCACACAGCAACUGGUGACGCUGAGAGGCCCCGAGCCCAGGGUUUGCGGCAGUUUUAUACAUUCUUUGGGGAAGGCAGGGACUUCACAUACAUCUCUUAGCAAAUCAUCAUACNUGUAGGUCAAGCAUCCGAGGAAAAGAAUCCUGUCUCUAAUUCACACACAGGCUCUGUGUGGACUGGCCCUGUUCUGACCCAAGCUGUGGCUUGGAGUAGUCAGACAGGAGUGAGCCCAUGGUAUGGUAACACAGAGGCCUGGGCUCUGCUGUCCCCGCUGUCCCCUCCCUUUGAGAUGCACCUGGAGGCCCUGGCGGGGGGGUGCGCUCCCUCCCCUGCCUCCCACCGCACCCCCAGCCUGCUUCCUUCAGUUUGUAAAGUCGGUGAUUAUAUUUUUGGGGGCUUUCCUUUUAUUUUUUAAAUGUAAAAUUUAUUUAUAUUCCGUAUUUAAAGUUGUAAAAAAAAA